GCUUACUCCAUGGUUGACCAACUGUGAUAGCUCAGCAAAUGAAGCAAGCACAAAAAUUAAUGCAAGCUACAAUAUCCCCGAAUCUUGAGAAUUUACAUCGCACUUUUGUAAAAGAAAAAUUCAUCACAAUUUCAUUGGAUUCCGUCAAGAUGUUCAGUAGAUUUUCCAUUUGUUCACACUGAAUUUCUUAGCUCGCUCUCCUCUCCUGCAAGUUUCCUCUUCAUUUUAAGAAUUUUGAUUUUCCAA
rnacentral:misc_RNA from 1 species